UUAACUGUAAACAUUAAGAAUUCAUUUUUGAAUGCUUUGAAAACAGUGGAUUGGAUGGAUGAGAGCGCUAAAAUGUAUGCUGCCAUUAAAGCGAAGAAAAUGACUUUUUGUGUAGGUUACCCCGAAGAACUUCUAAAUGACACCUAUGUGAAUCUUUAUUAUCAAUGGUUGCACCUGGAUGAUAACGAAUAUUUUUGGAAGGUCAAUGUUAAUAUGUCAAAAUUUUUUCGGAUGAAGUUAGAUGAAAGGGUGGAUGAUUAUUUUGAAGAGCACGCAAAUACUAGGGGAUUAAAAGCGCAUUAUAAGGGAAAAGAAAACACUAUUGAAAUGCCUGCUGGUGUGCUUCGGGAUAAGCUCUUCGAUCGUGAUAGACCUCAAUACUUGAAUUAUGGGACAAUAGGAAAAAUAAUUGUCCAUGAAUUCAUUCAUGGGUUUGAUGA